rnacentral:rRNA from 1 species
UGGGGAAUUUUGGACAAUGGGCGAAAGCCUGAUCCAGCAAUGCCGCGUGUGUGAAGAAGGCCUUCGGGUUGUAAAGCACCUUUGUCCGGAAAGAAAUCCUUGGCUCUAAUACAGUCGGGGGGAUGACGGUACCGGAAGAAUAAGCACCGGCUAACUACGUGCCAGCAGCCGCGGUAAUACGUAGGGUGCAAGCGUUAAUCGGAAUUACUGGGCGUAAAGCGUGCGCAGGCGGUUUGCUAAGACCGAUGUGAAAUCCCCGGGCUCAACCUGGGAACUGCAUUGGUGACUGGCAGGCUAGAGUAUGGCAGAGGGGGGUAGAAUUCCACGUGUAGCAGUGAAAUGCGUAGAGAUGUGGAGGAAUACCGAUGGCGAAGGCAGCCCCCUGGGCCAAUACUGACGCUCAUGCACGAAAGCGUGGGGAGCAAACAGGAUUAGAUACCCUGGUAGUCCACGCCCUAAACGAUGUCAACUAGUUGUUGGGGAUUCAUUUCCUUAGUAACGUAGCUAACGCGUGAAGUUGACCGCCUGGGGAGUACGGUCGCAAGAUUAAAACUCAAAUGAAUUGACGGGGUCAUAGCUGUUUCCU